rnacentral:rRNA from 1 species
AUGCAUUUCAAAGAGAACUGGACUCUGCUAUUUCCAACUUCACCAAGGCUAUACAAUCAAAUCCAUCAGCUGGGGAGGCGUGGAAGUAGCGGGACAAGCUCGCGCUGCUUUAGGAGAGUUCGUCGAGGCAACCUUGCUAUAUUUGUGCUGAUGACUUGGAUAAAGCAUUGGAAUUUGAACCAAAUUCUCCUGAUAUUUUACACGAAAGGGAUUAAUUUUCCUUUUUCUAUUCAGCAAACCAAAGAUUUAUUAUUUUCAAGCUCUUUUAAGGAUAUAGAUGAUGAUGUAGUUGUUGAAGCUUGCUCUGUUCACGAGAGUUUCUCCAUGCUUAUGAAGAAAAUAGUUGGGUUCGGAGCACCUUCGAUUGGUAUGCAGGUUACCCAAUGA